rnacentral:rRNA from 1 species
AGAGUUCGAUUCUGGCUCAGGAUGAACGCUGGCGGCGCGCCUAACACAUGCAAGUCGAACGGCACCUAUCUUCGGAUAGAAGCGAGUGGCGAACGGCUGAGUAACACGUGGAGAACCUGCCCCCUCCCCCGGGAUAGCCGCCCGAAAGGACGGGUAAUACCGGAUACCCCGGGGUGCCGCAUGGCACCCCGGCUAAAGCCCCGACGGGAGGGGAUGGCUCCGCGGCCCAUCAGGUAGACGGCGGGGUGACGGCCCCACCGUGCCGACAACGGGUAGCCGGGUUGAGAGACCGACCGGCCAGAUUGGGACUGAGACACGGCCCAGACUCCUACGGGAGGCAGCAGUGGGGAAUCUUGCGCAAUGGGGGGAACCCUGACGCAGCGACGCCGCGUACGGGACGGAGGCCUUCGGGUCGUAAACCGCUUUCAGCAGGGAAGAGUCAAGACUGUACCUGCAGAAGAAGCCCCGGCUAACUACGUGCCAGCAGCCGCGGUAAUACGUAGGGGGCGAGCGUUAUCCGGAUUCAUUGGGCGUAAAGCGCGCGCAGGCGGCCCGGCAGGCCGGGGGUCGAAGCGGGGGGCUCAACCCCCCGAAGCCCCCGGAACCUCCGCGGCUUGGGUCCGGUAGGGGAGGGUGGAACACCCGGUGUAGCGGUGGAAUGCGCAGAUAUCGGGUGGAACACCGGUGGCGAAGGCGGCCCUCUGGGCCGAGACCGACGCUGAGGCGCGAAAGCUGGGGGAGCGAAAAGGAUUAGAUACCCUGGUAGUCCCAGCCGUAAACCCUUUAGGGGGGUGUGGGGGGACGAUCCCCCCGUGCCGCAGCCAACGCAUUAAGCGUCCCGCCUGGGGAGUACGGCCGCAAGGCUAAAAAUCAAAAGAAUUGACGGGGGCCCGCACAAGCAGCGGAGCAUGUGGUUUAAUUUGAAGCAACGCGAAGAACCUUACCAGGGCUUGACAUAUGGGUGAAGCGGGGGAGACCCCGUGGCCGAGAGGAGCCCAUACAGGUGGUGCAUGGCUGUCGUCAGCUCGUGUCGUGAGAUGUUGGGUUAAGUCCCGCAACGAGCGCAACCCCCCCCGCGUGUUGCCAUCGGGUGAUGCCGGGAACCCACGCGGGACCGCCGCCGUCAAGGCGGAGGAGGGCGGGGAGGACGCCAAGUCAUCAUGCCCCUUAUGCCCUGGGCUGCACACGUGCUACAAUGGCCGGUACAGAGGGAUGCCACCCCGCGAGGGGGAGCGGAUCCCGGAAAGCCGGCCCCAGUUCGGAUUGGGGGGUGCAACCCGCCCCCACGAAGUCGGAGUUGCUAGUAAUCGCGGAUCAGCAUGCCGCGGUG